GAUGGACAUCAAGCAACGUGUGAGGCGUCUAGUGAAAACCCUAACCACCAAUCCCUUGUCUCCUCGAGCCCCGAGCUGCCUCCACAUCCUGUUUGCCUCUCCCCUCUCUCCAGUACUUUCGUGCACCUCCUCCUCCACUUCUAUCCUUCCUCCUCUACCAGCGUUGGCCGCCACAUCCUUCCCUCAAGCUGCACUGCCAUCCAUCUCUCAACAUGUUCCUCAAUCUACCGCCGCCGAUAGUUGUGCUUCUGGAUCGCAUAAAGAUUGCUUCUAUAGGAGAGCAGGGUUGACGUGGUCUUUUUGGUGGGCAUGUAGUAGGGAAGGUUGAGCGGGGUGGAUAUGAGGCAAGGAGCAACAAGGUCUUAUCUUAUUCCUCAAUUUCUACUCCUUGAUUUAUGUUUUUUCUGAACACAUGUAUGCAGGUCUGAGAGAAAAAGGAGAAGCGGAAUGAAUCUUGAUGAAGUGCUAUUUUUACACCCUAAUUUAUUAUAUUUUGUACAACAAGUUUUUCUUUUAAUGACAUUUUGUUACCUGGUUUACUGUUCUACUAUUGACAUACUCACUGAAUUUUACGGACACUAAGUGAUCUAUUUAAGUCCAAUUUGUUCCUUUUUAUUGCUACUAUUUCUCAUGGGAUAUUCAGGUGCUGAGAAGACAUAUUUUUGAGAUGUUCCUAAUGGCGACGGUGGUAAUCAACAAUGAGAAAAAAGGAACAGAGAUUGGAUUUGUACUACGUUCAAGGAUAUAAACCUAUAUGAUAUAUUAUUGAUGGGGAUCGAGUAUUAUAGUGAUAUAUCUAUGAAUUUUAAUGAUCUAUCUGCUACCAAGUACUCUACUCACCAGAAUUUGUUUUGGAUGCUUCAGCUCAGUUAACUGGAUGUUAAUUUGUUCACAUAACUCAUGUUGUAGCUACAAAUUUCUUUGUACUUUACACGCAAAUUAUUUAUCUUAUUCUGAAAUCUUAUUCCUUAGUGAUAGGCUGUAGGUUGAGUUCAGAUUGUGUUUUCCUAGAAAAGAAUCAGGUAAUGCUAUGGCCUAAGCAACGUAUGGUAUAAAUUUUAUAAAGAAGGUUGUGUAAUAUUUUUCUAAGGUUCUUUCAAAUAUCUGGAAUUUGCAUGCAUAUGUUUCUUGUGUGUGCCCACAUUUUUUAUGCAUCUACAGCGGGCUUACGCCUGCGUGAACUUUAUUUAGAUCGUUGAGGAUGUUACAUAGUGCAUGGCAUCGGGAAUACAUGGGGUUGAAGGGAAAGAGAAAAAUGAAAAAUACGUAUUGUUGUGGGCUACAUCCUCGCAGCUAGGUGGAACAACAUGGAGCCCCACUCGCGAAACAUAUUGUUGUGCACACAUUGUUAGUUUUGUACUCCUUCUUUGAUAUGAAUAACUAGCACAUGAAUUUUUCAUGGUGGGAAGCAUGAGUGACAUUUACUAUUUAGAAUGCCCAGAUGCCAGUUUGGCUUCUUUAUUUUUAGUUUUGAGAGGUGCCUGCAUUUAUUUUUAGGAUGCAGUCAUGCUAAAAUAUUAUUGUUGUGUUUCAUCUAAUUUCACUUUUUGAUAGGGACACAUAUCAUGUGGUCUAAUAUUUAUACGAAUGGUUGGGAAAUCGCAAGUAGAUGGUUACUUAUGCCUUGUAGCUCCUGUAGGAGUGAUAUACUUAUUAAGAUGAAUGGUUAUUCUAUAAUGAAAGGCAUAUGUAGCCACC